rnacentral:rRNA from 1 species
GACGAACGCUGGCGGCGUGCUUAACACAUGCAAGUCGAACGGAGCGAAUGAAAGCUUGCUUUUAUGAGCUUAGUGGCAAACGGGUGAGUAACACGUAGACAACCUGCCGACAGGAUGGGGACAACAUUCCGAAAGGAAUGCUAAUACCGAAUGAAGUCAGAGAAGGGCAUCCUUUUCUGAUGAAAGAUGGCCUCUAUUUAUAAGCUAUCACCUGUCGAUGGGUCUGCGUCUGAUUAGCUGGUUGGUGAGGUAACGGCUCACCAAGGCGACGAUCAGUAGCCGGUCUGAGAGGAUGAACGGCCACAUUGGGACUGAGACACGGCCCAGACUCCUACGGGAGGCAGCAGUGGGGAAUCCUCCGCAAUGGGCGCAAGCCUGACGGAGCAACGCCGCGUGAGUGAAGAAGGUCUUCGGAUCGUAAAGCUCUGUUGAUGGGGACGAACGUGCGAAGGGGAAUAAUCCUUUGCAAGACGGUAC